AGAUGGCGACCGGCGCACGGGUGAGUAACACGUAUCCAACCUGCCGAUAACUCGGGGAUAGCCUUUCGAAAGAAAGAUUAAUACCCGAUGGUAUAAUCAGACCGCAUGGUUUGAUUAUUAAAGAAUUUCGGUUAUCGAUGGGGAUGCGUUCCAUUAGGCAGUUGGUGAGGUAACGGCUCACCAAACCUUCGAUGGAUAGGGGUUCUGAGAGGAAGGUCCCCCGCAUUGGAACUGAGACACGGUCCAA
rnacentral:rRNA from 1 species